UACGAAGGGGGCUAGCGUUGUUCGGAAUUACUGGGCGUAAAGCGCGCGUAGGCGGUUUUGCAAGCCAGAGGUGAAAUGCCUGAGCUCAACUCAGGAAUGGCCUUUGGGACUGCGAGGCUUUGAGGACUGGAGAGGUGAGUGGAAUUCCCAGUGAUAGAGGUGAAAUUCGUAGAUAUUGGGAAGAACACCUGUGGCGAAGGCGGCUCACUGGCCAGUUUCUGACGCUGUAGCGCGAAAGCGUGGGGAGUCAAACAGGA
rnacentral:rRNA from 1 species